GCGGGUGUAGUUUAGUGGUAAAACUACAGCCUUCCAAGCUGUUGUCGCGAGUUCGAUUCUCGUCACCCUACCCA
rnacentral:tRNA from 1 species